AUGUGCCUUGCUUCUCCUUCAUUUUCUGCCAUGAUUGUAAGUUUCCUGAGGCCUUCCCAGCCAUGUGGAACUGCAUUCUAAUAUACGCAUUCUUCAUGACAACUAUGUGAAACAUAUUAAUAUCCUCAUUGUUAAAGAUGAAGAAACUAAAUCUCAGGAAGAAAAACUAAGUGAAGACAAAAGAAGUAUUUGAACUGAGAUUAUUCUGGGAGAUUCUGGGAGUCUUUUCUCCAACACUCCAAUGGCAUCUGACUAUGUGAGCUGAUAAGAUCUAUAGAUCUGUGAGUUGGCAGAGCUGUGAAAAGUUUCUCUCUCCUUAGGACAUAAGCAGGAAACCUGGAUACAGGAAUCAAUAUGGGGAAAGAGAAAAUGUUUAUUAGAACAAAUUUAUUAUAU
rnacentral:antisense_RNA from 1 species